UGUUUGAUGAAACUGAAACUG
rnacentral:misc_RNA from 1 species